CACAGUUUUCAUGCUUGCUUAUAAAGCUUCAUGAGGGCCAUGCCUCUUGCCCCUUCCAACCCAAGUGCGCCCUAAAAAAUGUUCAAAUACGCUUCUCUGUAUAUAUAUA